UGGUUCACCAAGGCGUCGACGGGUAGCCGCCCUGAAAGGUGACCGGCCACACUGGGACUGAGACACGGCCCAGACUCCUACGGGAGGCAGCAGUGGGGAAUAUUGCACAAUGGGCGAAAGCCUGAUGCAGCAACGCCGCGUGAGGGAUGACGGCCUUCGGGUUGUAAACCUCUUUUAGCAGGGAAGAAGCGAAAGUGACGGUACCUGCAGAAAAAGCGCCGGCUAACUACGUGCCAGCAGCCGCGGUAAUACGUAGGGCGCAAGCGUUAUCCGGAAUUAUUGGGCGUAAAGAGCUCGUAGGCGGUCUGUCGCGUCUGCUGUGAAAUCCCGAGGCUCAACCUCGGGUCUGCAGUGGGUACGGGCAGACUAGAGUGCGGUAGGGGAGAUUGGAAUUCCUGGUGUAGCGGUGGAAUGCGCAGAUAUCAGGAGGAACACCGAUGGCGAAGGCAGAUCUCUGGGCCGUUACUGACGCUGAGGAGCGAAAGGGUGGGGAGCAAACAGGCUUAGAUACCCUGGUAGUCCACCCCGUAAACGUUGGGAACUAGUUGUGGGGUCCAUUCCACGGAUUCCGUGACGCAGCUAACGCAUUAAGUUCCCCGCCUGGGGAGUACGGCCGCAAGGCUAAAACUCAAAGGAAUUGACGGGGACCCGCACAAGCGGCGGAGCAUGCGGAUUAAUUCGAUGCAACGCGAAGAACCUUACCAAGGCUUGACAUAUACGAGAACGGGCCAGAAAUGGUCAACUCUUUGGACACUCGUAAACAGGUGGUGCAUGGUUGUCGUCAGCUCGUGUCGUGAGAUGUUGGGUUAAGUCCCGCAACGAGCGCAACCCUCGUUCUAUGUUGCCAGCACGUAAUGGUGGGAACUCAUGGGAUACUGCCGGGGUCAACUCGGAGGAAGGUGGGGAUGACGUCAAAUCAUCAUGCCCCUUAUGUCUUGGGCUUCACGCAUGCUACAAUGGCCGGUACAAAGGGCUGCAAUACCGCGAGGUGGAGCGAAUCCCAAAAAGCCGGUCCCAGUUCGGAUUGAGGUCUGCAACUCGACCUCAUGAAGUCGGAGUCGCUAGUAAUCGCAGAUCAGCAACGCUGCGGUGAAUACGUUCCCGGGUCUUGUACACACCGCCCGUCAAGUCAUGAAAGUCGGUAACACCUGAAGCCGGUGGCCCAACCCUUGUGGAGGGAGCCGUCGAAGGUGAUCGA
rnacentral:rRNA from 1 species